rnacentral:rRNA from 1 species
UACGUAGGGAGCAAGCGUUGUCCGGAAUCAUUGGGCGUAAAGAGCGUGUAGGCGGCCCGGUAAGUCGGGUGUGAAACUUCGGAGCUUAACUCCGAAACUGCAUUCGAUACUGCGGUGCUUGAGGACUGGAGAGGAGACUGGAAUUUACGGUGUAGCAGUGAAAUGCGUAGAGAUCGUAAGGAAGACCAGUGGCGAAGGCGGGUCUCUGGACAGUUCCUGACACUGAGGCACGAAGGCCAGGGGAGCAAACGGG